rnacentral:tRNA from 1 species
GCCUUCAUGGUGUAGUAUUCAGUACGCUCGGCGCAUAUUCGAGAGGUCCGUAGUUCGAAUCUCGGCGAGGGCA